AUAGUCCAAUCGAAUGAAAAUUCAACCUAAGGUAUAACCGUGAUACAAUCCACAUGAACCAUAUUAAUCUCAACAAAAAUCCACAAGAUGAAAUAACCAAAAUCUAAUGAUUAAAAUUCUAAUCGAAACGUGGUUAAUCUAUCAAGGAUUAAUUCUGGAAAAUUAAGAAAACUAAACUUAAUCUAACAAUUGAUUAGGCCUAACUUCUAAAUGAUGAUCUAAUUGAUUCUUCUAAUUAUCGGUAACGUGUCCAAAGCCUUCAUCGCCUCACAUGUUCUUCACCGAGAAAUAGCUUCAAGAUUUCGCUUCAAGAUCUCGUGCAACCAUCAACAGAAACCAGCAAGAAUGAUUCAUCUCACCGUGGAAAAACCAAGAACGAUGACAAAUUCGCGAGAGGUCUCAAUGUUUAAAUGAAUGGGAUCGAAAUCGAGCGUGCAAUAGAGAAAAAAGAAGGAAGCAAAACCUACCGACUUCAUUCCUCUUCUUCGAUUAAGCGUUUGUUAUGAAAGAUGAAUACGAUACUCCGCGUUCGUGCCUUGUCGAUUCGUUAUGUCGCGAUUGACGGAGGUGCACGGAGCGUCACGAUGAAGAAUGAAGGUGGAGAUGUAACGUGCGUCAUUGAUAUGGCGCGAGAACAGAAUCGCGGAUGGAAUCGUGGUGUUUAUGACGAAGAAGACGACCGAUGAUCAAAUCCAGAAAGAAGGAGCCGGUAUACGAGUGGCGAGUGAGGGAGAUUAGAAGAGGUUGGAGAGGUUUUUUUUCCGGAGGUUUCUUCUGUGGAAGAUUAGUGAAGGAAUCAGAAGUUGGAAGUGGAGAGUUUUUUUUGUUGGGUGGAGGUUUGGACCAGUGAAGAGAUCGGAGACGCUCCGAAGGUGUGAGGAAGUUACUGGAUUCUGUUUUUGGAGGAGGGUCUAAGGUUGAGAAUUGGUGGCUUUUUGGAGGUUUGAAAAUUGCAGGAUUUGUUGAUUAUGGAAGUUGGUGGAUGAAAAAUGUGAAGUCCUGUUAUGGAGUUUUUUGGUUGAAUGAUUGUUGAUGAAUGGAAGAUGGAGAAGGUAGCGGGUUGAAGGAUUGAAGAGUGUUGUGGAAGGUGGAUGGUGGUUUUUGAAGAAUGGUGAUGGUUGAAGAAGAGAAGAGGGAUGGUUGAAGAAUUUUUGAAUUGUUGAAUGAUGGGAAAGAUGAUGGAGAGUGAAGUCGUUAAUAUGAGCUUUGGGUUGUGAUGGAGAUGGAAGAAGAAGCUCGCCCGGGUGAAGAAUCAGUUAUCAGUUAUAUGGAGGUUGUUGAAGUUGUAGAGGUUAUGGUUUAGUUAGGAAUUAGUUAGAUUCAAUGACAGUUGGCGACAGUCGGUGACAGUUGGAAUUGAUUAGGCGGUUAGGGCGGUUGAAGACAGUUAGAAAGUGAUUCUGUUAUGGAGUUAAAAAUUUGUUAUGAAAACAGUUAGUUGAAGAAGAGUGUGAAAGUCUCUUAUUGGUUAAUCCUUGAAGGGUAUUGAAGUUAGAGGAAGAUUUUUGAAGGUCAAGUGAAGGAGAGAAAACCCAAUUCGGGUCUGUUAUGGGAAGAUGUAGAGUUUCGGUUAAGCGGUCGUUGAGGAAGUUUGGAGCAGUGGUUAUUGAAGAAGGUCGGAGGGUUACGAAAAUUUCGUAUGAUGUUGUUAUAGAAAAAAACGGAUUGGUUAUAGGGAGGUGGAAGUUAGUUCGUGGAAUGAAUGCUUUGGCAACGGAUCUCAUUUAGCCUCUCAAUUCUAUUCAUGUUCCUUAUUUGUUGUUGUUUCUAUUAUGUUUUUUGAUUUCUACAGGUUAUGAGCUCGAAAGAGUGUGUUGCGAAACUCCGUAAGCUGGUUUUUAGUAGGAAUUGAAGUCACAGUUUAUUCAAGGUGAAGCUCUUUAGUUAGCAGGGUGGUGAUAUCAUCUUCCUUCAAAAUUAAACUGGCUAUCUGCUUUAGAGCUUUAUCUGCAUCAGUAAACACUUGAUCAUUGCCUAAUGAUGAUGACACGCUCUUCAUGUCUUGCGAUAGCAUCAACGAUUUUAUUGUUAGCUUGUUAGGUAUUUUUGUGAUGUAUUUUUGUGAUGAUAUCCAUUUUGUGCAGGUUGGUUAUAAUUCUAUAGGGGAUUUUUAUUGUAAUUUUGUAGUUAUUUUAAGUUGAAGUUGGACUAGGGAUUUAUGGUUCCUUGCAUUGGAAUUGGUUUGUCGCACAUGGACUCGGAUUUUGAGUUUGUUGGAGCUUGAAUUUGAUAUGAAUUGUCGUUGUAAAUUUUGUAACCAAAAUUCAAGUUGUGCUACAAUAGGAAAUGAAUGUAAAUGUUAUGUACAUUAUUGGAUCAUGAUUUAUGAA